GAUUGCUGCCCCCAAACUGCUAACAGAAUCCAAUGCACAAACAUGAAAAGUUACUAUAGAAUAAGCAGAGGUUGCCUCCGGCCUGCUGUCAUCUUCAGAAACAAGUGGGGGCAAAAGGUAUGUGCCAACCCCCGGAGUAAGGCAGUUCAGAAUUGUAUGAAAAAGCUGAACUGAGCCAAGAAACAGAGAAAAACGGUUGCUUGAGAAGAAGGAAUACCGGAUGCCACGCAGCCUCCUCCACUCUCUCACCUUCUGGGAGUUUCUUGGCCUGAAUUCUUUUGUCAAAAGCAACAAUUAUUGUUCUGUUUAUUGCACCAAUAAAAAGUAUCCAAUUUAACUGCCCUUGAACUGUAAGUGGAAGAU